AUAAGAUUGCGCAAUGCGCAUGUUUGCUUUCAGUCAGCUGUUCUUGGUGACGUCACGGUUGACUUAUUAUUCGCGCGCGCCUUUGAAUGUGAAAGAAAUUUGCAGUUUGAAAUGGGUUUAAGUUCGCGGAGUCUAACAAAGUUGCUACCUAGCGCUUUUCUCACGUUAACCAGAUUAACUCCUGCAGAGGCUAAUGAACGGCAGAAAAGAAUGGAGUCUCGUUUAAACCACUGUUUCUUAUCCUAAUUGCAAUAUUUUUCAACGUGUGUCAGUUGAUCUAAAUUCCACUGACCCAAUUGAAAAAAUGAUGACUUGAAGAUUCUCAACAACGACGGGCUUGAAAAUUUGGCAGGGUACAUCUCGCCACAAACUUAGUAAAGACAACCCCGAAAUUUGUGCCAAUUCAGAAAAUUGUUCGUCUUAUA